rnacentral:rRNA from 1 species
UACGUAGGAGGCAAGCGUUGUCCGGAGUUACUGGGCGUAAAGCGCACGCAGGCGGUCUUGUCAGUCUGGAGGGACAGGGCACAGCUCAACUGUGUCAGGCUUAUGGAAACUGCAAGACUUGAGGGCUUCAGAGGGAUGGGGAAUUCCGGGUGGAGUGGUGAAAUGCGUAGAGAUCCGGAAGAACACCAAAGGCGAAGGCACCAUCCUGGGGAGUCACUGACGCUCGGGUGCGAAAGCUAGGGGAGCGAACGGG